rnacentral:SRP_RNA from 1 species
GAGCGGGUCCUGUGCGACAGGAUGCCACGAACCAUGUCAGGCGGGGAACCGAGCAGCAUUAAGUGGAUUUUCCUGUGUGCCGCAGCAAACCUGUUCGUC